rnacentral:rRNA from 1 species
UACAGAGGUCUCAAGCGUUGUUCGGAUUCAUUGGGCGUAAAGGGUGCGUAGGCGGCGCGGUAAGUCGGGUGUGAAAUCUUGGAGCUUAACUCCGAAACUGCAUUCGAUACUGCCGUGCUUGAGGACUGGAGAGGAGACUGGAAUUUACGGUGUAGCGGUGAAAUUCGUAGAUAUUCGCAAGAACACCAGUGGCGAAGGCGGCUCACUGGCCCGGUACUGGACGCUGAGGUGCGAAAGCGUGGGGAGCAAACAGGG